rnacentral:rRNA from 1 species
UACGGAGGGUGCAAGCGUUAUCCGGAUUCACUGGGUUUAAAGGGUGCGUAGGCGGGCAGGUAAGUCCGUGGUGAAAUCUCUGAGCUUAACUCAGAAACUGCCAUGGAUACUAUUUGUCUUGAAUGUUGUGGAGGUAAGCGGAAUAUGUCAUGUAGCGGUGAAAUGCUCAGAUAUGACAUAGAACACCAAUUGCGAAGGCAGCUUACUACACAAAUAUUGACGCUGAGGCACGAAAGCGUGGGGAUCAAACAGG